rnacentral:rRNA from 1 species
UACGUAGGGUGCAAGCGUUGUCCGGAAUUACGUGGGCGUAAAGGGCUCGUAGGUGGCCAACUAAGUCAGACGUGAAAUCCCUCAGCUUAACUGGGGAACUGCGUCUGAUACUGGAUGGCUUGAGAUUGGGAGAGGAUGCGGAAUUCCAGGUGUAGCGGUGAAAUGCGUAGAUAUCAGGAGGAACACCGGUGGUGUAGACGGCUCACUGGACCGUAACUGACGCUGAGACACGAAAGCGUGGGUAGCAAACAGG